CUUCUAAAGUCCCUAAACUUAACCAUUUUCAACCAACCAAGUCGCCUAACAAAACCACAAUCCAAAACAUAAUCCUCUUCUAAAGUCCCUAAACUUAACCAUUUUCGAGCAUCUAAGUGUCAAAACAAAACCACAUUCCAAAACAAAAAUUCAUUUUAAAGUCCCUAAACUUAACCAUUUUCAACCAACCAAGUCACCUAACAAAACCACAUUCCAAAACAAAAUCUCCUUCUAAAGUCCCUUAACUAUUUUCGAGCAUCUAAGUGUCAAAACAAAACCACAUUCCAAAACAAAAAUCCCUUCUAAAGUCCACAAACUUAACCAUUUUCGAGCAUUUAAGUGUCAAAAUAAAACCACAUUCCAAAAUAAAAAUCUAUUUUAAAGUCCCUAAACUUAACUAUUUUCGGACAAGUAAGUGUCAAAACAAAACAACAUUCCAAAACAAAAAUCCCUUCUAUAGUCCACAAACUUAACCAUUUUCGAGCAUCUAAGUGUCAAAACAAAACCACAUUCCAAAAUAAAAAUCCAUUUUAAAGUCCCUAAACUUAACCAUUUUCAACCAACCAAGUCACCUAACCAAACCACAUUCCAAAACAAAAAUCACUUCUAAAGUCCGUAAACUUAACCAUUUUCGAGAAUCAAAGUGUCAAAACAAAACCACAUUCAAAAAUAAAAAUCCCUUUUAAAGUCCCUAAACUUAACCAUUUCCAACCAACCAAGUCACCUAACAAAACCACAUUCCAAAAUAAAAAUCUCUUCUAAAGUUCUUAAACUUAACCAUUUUCGAGCAUCUAAGCGUCAAAAUAAAACCACAUUCCAAAACAAAAAUCCCUUUUAAAGUCCCUUAACUUAACCAUUUUCAACCAACCAAGUCACCCAACAAAACCACAUUCCAAAAUAAAAAUCUCCUCUAAAGUCCAUAAACUUAACCAUUUCCGAGCAUCUAAGUGUCAAAACAAAACCACAUUCCAAAACAAAAAUCCCUUCUAAAGUUCACAAAUUGAACCAUUUUCGAGCAUCUAAGUGUCAAAACGAAACAACAUUCCAUAUCAAAAAUCUCUUUUAUAGACCCUAAACCUAACACUUUUUAACCAAGUGUCAAAACAAAACCACAUUCCAAAACAAAAAUCCCUUCUAAAGUCCCUAAACUUAACAAUUUUCAACCAACCAAGUCACCUAACAAAACCACAUUCCAAAACAAAAUACCCUUCAAAAGUCCCUAAACUUAACCAUUUUGGAGCAUCUCUGUGUCAAAACAAAAUUUCAUUACAAAAAAAAAUCCCUUCUAAAGUCCGUAAACUUAACCAUUUUCGAGCAUCUAAGUGUCAAAAUAAAAUCACAUUUCAGAACAAAAAUCUCUUUUAAAGUCUCUAAACCUAACACUUUUUAUCCAAGUGUCAAAACAAAACCACAUUCCAAAACAAAAAUCCCUUCUAAAGUCCCUAAACUUAACCAUUUUCAACCAACCAAGUCACCUAACAAAACCCUAUUCCAAAACAUAAUCCCCUUCUAAAGUCCCUAAACUUAACCAUUUUCGAGCAUCUAAGUGUCAAAACAAAACCACAUUCCAAAACAAAAAAUUAUUUUAAAGUCCCUAAACUUAACCAUUUUCAACCAACCAAGUCACCUAACAAAACCCUAUUCCAAAACAUAAUCCCCUUCUAAAGUCCCUAAACUUAACCAUUUUCGAGCAUCUAAGUGUCAAAACAAAACCACAUUCCAAAAAGAAAUCCCUUCUAAAGUCCGUACACUUAACCAUUAUCGAGCAUCCAAGUGUCAAAACAAAAUCACAUUCCAAAACAAAAAUCUCUUUUAAAGUCCCUAAACCUAACACUUUUUUUCCAAGUAUCAUAACAAAAGCACAUUUCCAAACAAAAAUCCCUUCUAAAGUCCCUAAACUUAACCAUUUUCAACCAACCAAGUCACCAAACAAAACCACAUUCCAAAACAUAAUGCCUUUCUAAAGUCCCUAAACUUAACCAUUUUCGAGCAUCUAAGUGUCAAAAGAAAAUCACAUUCCAAAACAAAAAUCCAUUUUAAAAUUCCUAAACUUAACCAUUUUCUACCAACCAAGUCACCUAACAAAACCACAUUCCAAAACAAAAUCUCCUUCUAAAGUCCCUAAACUUAACCAUUUUCGAGCAUCUAUGUGUCAAAACAAAACCACAUUCUAAAACCAAAAUCCAUUUUAAAGUUCCUAAACUUAACCAUUUUCAACCGACCAAGUCACCUAACAAAAUCACAUUCCAAAACAAAAUCCCCUUCUAAAAUCCCUAAACUUAACCAUUUUCGAGCAUCUAAGUAUCAAAACAAAACCACAUUCCAAAACAAAAAUCCAUUUUAAAAUCCCUAAACUUAACUAUUUUCAACCAACUAAGUCGCCUAACAAAACCACAUUACAAAACAAAAUCCCCUUCUAAAGUCCCUAAACUUAACCAUUUUCAAGCAUCUAAGUGUCAAAACGAAACCACAUUCCGAAAUAAAAAUCCAUUUUAAAGUCCCCUAAACUUAACCAUUUUCAAUCAACCACGUCACCUAACAAAACCACAUUCCAAAACAAAAUCCCCUUCUAAAGUCCCUAAACUUAACCAUUUUCGAGCAUCUAAGUGUCAAAACAAAAUCACAUUCCAAAACAAAAAUCCCUUUUAAAGUCCCUAAACUUAACCAUUUUCAACCAACCAAGUCACCUAAAAAAACCACAUUCCAAAAUAAAAAUCUCUUUUAAA
rnacentral:lncRNA from 1 species